UCGGGAAUAUUGCGCAAUGGAGGAAACUCUGACGCAGUGACGCCGCGUGCAGGAAGAAGGUUUUCGGAUUGUAAACUGCUUUAGACAGGGAAGAAACAAGACAGUACCUGUAGAAUAAGCUCCGGCUAACUACGUGCCAGCAGCCGCGGUAAUACGUAGGGAGCAAGCGUUAUCCGGAUUUAUUGGGUGUAAAGGGUGCGUAGACGGGAAUGCAAGUUGGUUGUGAAAUCCCUCGGCUCAACCGAGGAAUUGCAACCAAAACUAUAUUUCUUGAGUGCUGGAGAGGAAAGUGGAAUUCCUAGUGCAGCGGUGAAAUGCGUAGAUAUUAGGAGGAACACCAGUGGCGAAGGCGACUUUCUGGACAGUAACUGACGUUGAGGCACGAAAGUGUGGGGAGCAAACAGGAUUAGAUACCC
rnacentral:rRNA from 1 species